AGUGUGAGAGAUGCUGCCGCUGGGGUCAGACGCGGGUCCGAUGCUCGGCUGUGCUGUGGUGUGGAGACCCUGGGAUCUUUCAGCAGGAGAGACGCAAUUAAAUAAAGUGGUUUCUGGAGGUGUGAGACGGGUCCAGACUUCUUCUGAAGAUGUUUUCCAUCAUCCUGUGAGGUCUGCUGCUCUUCCUC